AUUGAACGCUGGCGGCAUGCCUUACACAUGCAAGUCGAGGGGCAGCACGGUUAGCAAUAACUGGUGGCGACCGGCGCACGGGUGCGUAACACGUAUACAAUCUACCUUAAACAGGGGGAUAGCCUUUCGAAAGAGAGAUUAAUACCCCGUAAUAAAUUGAACGGCAUCGUUUGAUUUUGAAAGCUCCGGCGGUUUGAGAUGAGUAUGCGUCUGAUUAGCUAGUUGGUGAGGUAACGGCUCACCAAGGCGACGAUCAGUAGGGGAUCUGAGAGGACUAACCCCCACACUGGUACUGAGACACGGACCAGACUCCUACGGGAGGCAGCAGUAAGGAAUAUUGGUCAAUGGAGGCAACUCUGAACCAGCCAUGCCGCGUGCAGGAUGACGGCCCUAUGGGUUGUAAACUGCUUUUAUACAAGAGAAAACCCUGGUACGUGUACCAGGUUGAUAGUAUUGUAAGAAUAAGCAUCGGCUAACUUCGUGCCAGCAGCCG
rnacentral:rRNA from 1 species